AGGGCUUCCUGUGCAAAAAUUUCUCUGGUCAGCUUCACACACCGACGGAAGUCAUCGACAUCGGUUUCUGUUGAGAAGAAACAGGUACAAUUGUGCAGCUGGGGGGCACAGGCUUUCGCCCCCAGGCCCCAUGCACCCUGAAAGCCCUGCUGCAGUGGGGAAGAUGAGACCCUCUGCUCACCUGCAGAGACGCCCUCUGGGAGCAGUGGAGAAGGGAGCUCACCUGGAAGGUGGCACACCACCGGGAUGCCUAAUUUUUUGAGGUCA